ACUGCUCAGUAACACGUGGAUAACCUACCCUUAGGACCGGGAUAANCCCUGGGAAACUGGGGAUAAUACCGGAUAUAUGGAGAUACCUGGAAUGGUUCUCCACUUAAAGCUCCGGCGCCUAAGGAUGGAUCUGCGGCAGAUUAGGUCGUUGGUGGGGUAAUGGCCCACCAAGCCUUUGAUCUGUACGGGUUGUGAGAGCAAGAGCCCGGAGAUGGAACCUGAGANCAAGGUUCCAGGCCCUANCGGGGCGCAGCAGGCGCGAAACCUCCGCAAUGCGAGCAAUCGCGACGGGGGGACCCCAAGUGCCACUCUUAACGGGGUGGCUUUUCUUAAGUGUAAAAAGCUUUUGGAAUAAGGGCUGGGCAAGACCGGUGCCAGCAGCCGC
rnacentral:rRNA from 1 species